rnacentral:rRNA from 1 species
UACGUAGGAGGCAAGCGUUAUCCGGAAUUAUUGGGCGUAAAGAGCUCGUAGGCGGUUUGUCGCGUCUGCUGUGAAAACUGGGGGCUCAACCCCCAGCCUGCAGUGGGUACGGGCAGACUAGAGUGCGGUAGGGGAGAUUGGAAUUCCUGGUGUAGCGGUGGAAUGCGCAGAUAUCAGGAGGAACACCGAUGGCGAAGGCAGAUCUCUGGGCCGUAACUGACGCUGAGGAGCGAAAGCAUGGGGGAGCGAACAGG